rnacentral:rRNA from 1 species
UACGGAGGGUGCGAGCGUUGUCCGGAAUCAUUGGGCGUAAAGGGCGCGUAGGUGGCCACUUCAAGCGUGCGGUGAAAGUCGGGGGCUCAACCCCUGAUCGGCCGUGCGAACUGGGGGGCUGGAGCACUGUAGAGGCAGGCGGAAUUCCGGGUGUAGCGGUGGAAUGCGUAGAGAUCGGGAGGAACACCCGUAGCGAAGGCGGCACUCUGGGCCGGUACUGACGCUGAGGAGCGAAAGCGUGGGGAGCAAACAGG